UACGGGGGGGGCAAGCGUUGUUCGGAAUUACUGGGCGUAAAGGGCUCGUAGGUGGCCAACUAAGUCAGACGUGAAAUCCCCAGGCUCAACCUGGGAACUGCGUCUGAUACUGGAUGGCUUGAAUCCGGGAGAGGGAUGCAGAAUUCCAGGUGUAGCGGUGAAAUGCGUAGAUAUCUGGAGGAAUACCGGUGGCGAAGGCGGCAUCCUGGACCGGCAUUGACGCUGAGGAGCGAAGGCUAGGGGAGCAAACGGG
rnacentral:rRNA from 1 species